rnacentral:rRNA from 1 species
UACAUAACCUCAGUGGGGUAGGAUUACCCGCUAGACUUAAGCAUAUUAAUCAGCGGAGGAAAAGAAACUAACAAGGAUUCCCCUAGUAACUGCGAGUGAAGAGGGAAUAGCUCAACGUGUGAAUCUGUCCGGGAGUAACCCCUGGUUCAGAGUUGUGCACUGUAGACGUCGGUUUCUGCGCUUGAAUUCCAGUUGUCAGUCCCAAGUCGGAUGAAACACCGCACCACAGAAGGUCAUAGCCCUGUGUCUGACUGUGCUUGAAUUUGCGCCAAUGACCGCACGUUCGUCGAGUCGCGUAGUUUUGUAAUGCUGCGCCAAUUGGGAGGUGGAACCCUUCUAAAGCUAAAUAUCAUGACGUGACCGAUAGCAAACAAGUACCGCGAGGGAAAGGUGAAAAGCAACCAUGUAGAAUGCGUUGAACCAGCAGUGAAAGUGCUACUGGGAUAAGGCCUAUUGAGUGCUAGUCUUUUGGUAUCGUGCUCUACUCGCUGCUCCAGGAGCGGCCUGCGUUGAUUGGAAUCUGGGAGACAUGCUCGGGGUUGAAUUCGGCCAAUGGCUUGCCACUGGUGUUGUAGCUCCCCGAAGAGUUGAGCCCAGAACCGAUCAAAGAUGCUUACGGCGUGCAAGUCCUGCGAUCAU